CCGCCAGACUCCUACGGGAGGCAGCAGUGAGGAAUAUUGGUCAAUGGGCGCAAGCCUGAACCAGCCAAGUCGCGUGAGGGAAGACUGCCCUAUGGGUUGUAAACCUCUUUUGUCAGGGAGCAAUUGGCGCUACGUGUAGCGUUAUCGAGAGUACCUGAAGAAAAAGCAUCGGCUAACUACGUGCCAGCAGCCGCGGUAAUACGUAGGGGGCAAGCGUUAUCCGGAUUUACUGGGUGUAAAGGGAGCGUAGACGGCAGCGCAAGUCUGAAGUGAAAUCCCAUGGCUUAACCAUGGAACUGCUUUGGAAACUGUGCAGCUGGAGUGCAGGAGAGGUAAGCGGAAUUCCUAGUGUAGCGGUGAAAUGCGUAGAUAUUAGGAGGAACACCAGUGGCGAAGGCGGCUUACUGGACUGUAACUGACGUUGAGGCUCGAAAGCGUGGGGAGCAAACAGGAUUAGAUACCCGAGUAC
rnacentral:rRNA from 1 species